CAGGUUGGCUGGUUCUGCAGAGAUGGCUCCAGAUAAACAUCCAUGAGUCCCCAGAGGUUUUCCAAAGAAAGAUGGGAGUCUUCAUGUGCGUCACGUCUCGUGUCUCUGUGGCUGCUGUCAGUUGCUCAGUAGGCAGUGUAGAUCCUGUGUAGAAAUCAGCAGCUACAUCUGGCUACUGGGUCUCUGACGGCUCUGCCUACUUCCUGGUCGAGCCAUACACGCUCCUCUCUCAUUGGCUGGUGGCGCAUUCCAACUCCUCUGAUUGGCUGUGAAGACAGGAGGGGUGGGGGCUUCAUCCUGUGACCCCACAGACAGGAUGUUCUCUGUGUCACAACUCCACAAGGGGCCCUUGUCAAGGCUUUUUGUGGGGUUUUUUCACUUCUUCCUCUUCCGCCAUUCUUUUAAACUCUUCCCCCCUCAAGGUCCUCUUUGUGUGAAAUGUCCUAGCAGUCACAUCGAUUUCAAGAAGUUACUUUGGCGAAAGAGACGCAUUUAAGUUGACAAUUUAAACUAUUAUGUAGAGAAAACACAGAUAAAACAUAAAAUAGAUUCUGUGUUAGCGACCUGUCAAUCACAAGGUAGCCCCGCCUUAAGCAUACACUACUUUAUUUGACUCUAAAUAUGACCAUAAAUCACAAAAUGAACGUCAUGCUGUAUUAAGAAGAUUUCAAACUGGAUAUAUAGAAUAUUAACUUGAUAGGAAAAUGUGUACUGAUGUAAUAAAUCAAGUGAGAAGUUGGUUAAUUCCCUCGUGGACUUCUAUAGAUUUGCUAGAUCUUACUAAGAAUGAAGGUUUGGUUGUAUUCUGUUUGCUAUUCAGAACAUGGAGGUUGCAAGUAAAGUUGAGAAGCAUUCAUUCAUGCAUGUUUGAAAGGCCUUCAAGGUGAAAGGAACGACCCUUUGCUUUGUCCUGAACCUGGCAUACAAUGUAGAUUUCUGUGUGGUUUAUUUCUACAGCUACAUUGUCUGCUGGGUUUCUGGCUAGCAAUAUAUGCAGCAAAAACAUAACCCUUUAAAAAAAAAAAAAGAAGGUCAGUAUUCAUCAGUUCUGUCAAAGUGCCUCGACUAACUGACCCUGAUAAUUCAAUAAAAAAUGUUAAGAGCA